GAGUGCGAUCUUACCAGCACUAAUGCAUUGAAUCACAUUAAAAUUUCACAAUCAAGUGUGCUUGGGCGAGAGUAAUAUUAGGAUGAGUAACCUUUUGAACAGUUUUCAUGUCGCACCCU
rnacentral:rRNA from 1 species